rnacentral:rRNA from 1 species
AUUGAACGCUGGCGGCAGGCUUAACACAUGCAAGUCGAGCGGAGAUGAGGUGCUUGCACCUUAUCUUAGCGGCGGGCGGGUGAGUAAUGCUUAGGAAUCUGCCUAUUAGUGGGGGACAACAUUCCGAAAGGAAUGCUAAUACCGCAUACGCCCUACGGGGGAAAGCAGGGGAUCUUCGGACCUUGCGCUAAUAGAUGAGCCUAAGUCGGAUUAGCUAGUUGGUGGGGUAAAGGCCUACCAAGGCGACGAUCUGUAGCGGGUCUGAGAGGAUGAUCCGCCACCAUGGGACUGAGACACGGCCCAGACUCCUACGGGAGGCAGCAGUGGGGAAUAUUGGACAAUGGGCGGAAGCCUGAUCCAGCCGUGCCGCGUGUGUGAAGAAGGCCUUUUGGUUGUAAAGCACUUUAAGCGAGGAGGAGGCUACCUGGAUUAAUACUCUAGGAUAGUGGACGUUACUCGCAGAAUAAGCACCGGCUAACUCUGUGCCAGCCGCCGCCGUAAUAC